GCUCUAGUUCAGUGGUAGAAUGCUUGUCUAUCAUACAGGAGGUUCUGUGUUCAACACCCAGCAGAGCA
rnacentral:tRNA from 1 species